rnacentral:lncRNA from 1 species
UGAUUCCGGGGCUGUGGGGAAAAAAGCAGAUUUGAGUGGUGAGUCGUUCAUGUCGAUGUCGGACUUGUCUUCCUCACAGUCAAUCUCGGAUUCGGAUGAAGAUGAAGAUUCGGAAUGGAUCCGAAAGGGAGAAGGAGGAUCUUGCUCUUCAAAUUCCAAAGGUCCAACCGUGCUACUUGAUACUUCUUUUGCUUCUUUCUUUGUUCUUUAUAAGCACGGUCAAUCUCUGGAUUUAAUGGAACAAGAGCUCCUUGUGAAGACGAACGAGUGUGUCGAGGUUGCAUGCACGUCUAGCACCUGAAAAACCAAUCGGCCAAGAUCAAGUUAGAAUGCAUGAGUAUAAAACGAAAUCAAAGGCAAUAAACUAGAUUAAGCUAAGAAAAACAAAACAAAGGAAAACAAAAGAAAU